AUGUGGAAUUUAUACACAAGGGCAGAGAGUUUUAAGUAUUGUAUGUUUGCAUUCGGCAUAUCCCUUUCUAGAUGUCAAAGCCCUCUUCUUGAAGCUUUAUCAAAAACAAAGAACAGAUCAUGUGAGUAUUCGGUCAGGUUGCAAAGGCACGGAGCGGGCAUAGAUGCUAGAAGGUGCUCCAUGGGGAACAGAGCGAGCUGGCUGGGUCCUUUAGUGAGUGGUGUAUCAGCCUUCCCUAGUGAAGGGCUGAGUGUUCCUUGGCUAUGGUGCCACAUGUGGGGUGAGAUAGUAAGAGGAGGGCAUAAAGAACUGGAAGGGAUAAACCCAAAGUCAAGUUCUGAAGAGAGAUAAGCAUGCAGACUGAGUAAUCAGACCAUGCAGGAUGUCUUCUAUAGAAAAGACAGUCUGAAAGAGGGAAGUGGUAAAUGUUUGGGCUCUCCUGGGUCCUGGAACAAUUAUCUGGGCGGGGUAAUGGUUAGUUAGAUCAUGGUUUGGAGAAACUCCACACAAAAUGCAAAUCUUGCAGUGUUUAUUUUUGUUUGUUUUAAUAUUUUUAGCACACCAUUGACUGAACGAACUUUCUAAAAGGGACUUGAGAUGACCGUCAUUGUUGGAAUAAGUCCUUCACCAACUUGCCCUUAUAAUCUCUCCACGUGUUACAGAAUUUUUGAACUUUUCACUGUUCAUGAAAGAAGCUGAGUCCUUCUCAUUUGUUUGUUUUCUGAGUCUUGAAUGAAGUGUUUUCUCUGAUUAGAAUGUUAUUCCCCUUUUUACGUGUCUGAUAAACUCUGAUUCUUCCUUCAUGAUGCAACUCAAGUGUCACCUGUUCCAUGAAGCUUUCCUUGAGAAAAUCCUACACAAGUCCAAGCACAGAGUUACUCAUUCUGGUAUAUUAAGCAUUCUGUUAAAGUACUUAACUUUCUUUCUUAAAAUGUUACCACUUAAAAAAAAAUGUUAUCACUUAUUAUCAUUGAAGAAGUCAGUAGGGUUAACCAAGUCUUUUAUGACAACCAGCAUGUUUAACAAUCUUGCUACAUUUCAACAUCCUUGGUUUUUCUACUAAUAUGAAGGUAGGAGGAAGUACAAAAAAUAAAAUGUGAAGUGAUGUUGCUAACUUUAGCCCU
rnacentral:lncRNA from 12 species